rnacentral:rRNA from 1 species
CAGUAGCCGCGGGAAUACGAAGGGGGCUAGCGUUGUUCGGAAUCACUGGGCGUAAAAGGUGCGUAGGCGGAUUCUUAAGUCAGGGGUGAAAUCCCGAGGCUCAACCUCGGAACUGCCUUUGAUACUGGGGAUCUUGAGUCCGGAAGAGGUGAGUGGAACUGCGAGUGUAGAGGUGAAAUUCGUAGAUAUUCGCAAGAACACCGGUGGCGAAGGCGGCUCACUGGUCCGGAACUGACGCUGAGGCACGACAGCGUGGGGAGCAAACAGGAUUAGAUACUCGCGUAGUCCCUGUCUCUUAUAU